AAUGAAGUUGCUUGUGUGUGUUCCCCUCCCCCUCAACUUUUUAAUCACCCCAAAGUUCCCUGCAGCAUUUUAUUGCUGGGUAAAUUUGCACACUUGGCCAACUCAGCUGAAAGGUCAUUGGCAUAUGUACUUUUCUUCUGUCCUUACUUCCAUUAUGUGUGAGGUUCAGGAACCUGAAAUUGUGCACACUGAAGCCAGGAAGCCUGGUGUGAAGCAGAGAGAAGUGCUCUGGUAGGAAGCCAGAAGGAGAGGAAUUUGAGAGCUAUAAUGAUGUGAAAACCACUCUUAAUUCUUGAACUACCUACAGCCAGCUCUGCUGUGACCCUGCUGAAGCAGCCUGUGAAGCUGUCAGCUCAGUGAAAGUGAGGUCAAUCUGACCACACUCUUCCUAAAGGAUCCUCUUCUGAACCAUCUACUUGAGUAUACAGCUCCUGACAAAUCAAUGACAAAAUCGAGAGUUGGUUCUGUUUGGAUGAAAUGGGUCAAGAAUGACAAAAAUCAGUUUGCUUUCUGGUGGCUAGCCAGUAGAGAUAAACUAGUACACAUCCACAGCUUGGUCUGGGGAUCAUCAGGGUUGGACCUUAGCACCAACAACCUCCAACAGACUGCAAUGGCUCUGCCUUUAAUACACUUCCACCCCUAUGUGUUAUACAUCCAUAAUACUGAACACACGAGGCAGACAGCUGCCCUUAGGCAUUCUCAGUAAAAACUUUCAUAUCACAACAGAACUGAACGUACCAUUAUAACACCAUGUCUCCUUUUCUUCAUGCUAAGGAUUGUUCUGAAAACCAGGCAAUGUCAUGGAAACGUUAUAAUAGACACAUUCAGAAUAUAUCGGUAAGUUAGUCAUCCUUGAUGAUAUAUUUAAGCUGUUCCUUCUACUAUAUAUAUAACAGGUUAAAUGUAAUUAACAUUGGUCAAAGGGUCCUUUUACUUUACAUACUUUAUGAAUGUAUUGAAUUAUCAGGAAGGAAAAAGGGAAACAGUAUUUCUUAAUAUCUGCUGGUAUAAGCUCCUCUAAGUCAUUUACAUCACAACAUGCAUUUUUGCUCCCCAAGAAGCAUGAAUAUUUUCUUUCUCCCUAAAUCCCAUAAUUGUUUUAUUGCUACAUUAAAAAAUGUAAAUAUUCGUUCCCCUCCCCAUAAUAAAUUAAGCGCAACCUGUCUGGCUCUGAAAAUGAACAUUUCAAUGUCUUCAGACACACAAUGACAUCAUAUCAAUAUUUAAAAUCAUUUUAUGCAUGUAUUCUAGGUUGUCCAACUUCAUUAGGGGCAUUCAUCAGCCCUCCGGCUACAGCGUAUUCCCAUCAGAGUUGUAGGCCUCAGGCCCUACCAAACAGAAAUUUAAACUAACUUGCCUUUUUAAUUCACAUUAUUCUCAAAUAUUCUCCUUUUUACCCCCCUGCCAUGACUAAGACAUUUAGACCAGGCUGAUUUUGUGCACAUCAAGAUUUAACAGACAAAAUCCCCAUUUUUAUGUAAGAAGUUGAAUGCAUUAAAAUAAUAGUCUUUCCCCUUUAAUUUCCUUGUCUUUUCCCAUCUGUCCCUAUCUCCUGGGUUCAAUAAUAACUGUUCUUUUAAUUUUGUAUGCUAAAUUAAUAAUUUGAGCUACAGGUUGAUAGGGAUUUUUAUGUUUUAAAUGUUCUUUUUUUUCAUGUUUUUUUUAUGUUUAAAAUUUAGAAACAUUUCAAACAAAUUAAGCUUCAUUCUUUUUCUCUCUCCUUCUCUUUCCAAAAUAAUAAAAUAUAGCCUCUCUUGAUCUAUUUUUUAUACAGCUAAGGAUGCACAGCAUGAAUACAUAUCCCUGCUAGCAGCAUCAAACACUGUUGCAUUAGUAUAAAAUCUUUGUCCUCACAAGCAAAACAAGCAGUCUUCCCAUUUUUCUGGUUUGUGGGAUGACUGUGGAUCUGCUCCCCGAGAUGUUUAAUGCCCUUCAAAAUGCCCGGGUAAAACUCACUCAUGCUGUAUAGCACAAGAAAGAAAAUUGUGAUACCAAAAAAAAUUUUUAUGCUACUGGCCAGACAGUGUAGAUUUGGCUGAAGCCUCUGAUUUAUCCUCCCACAUUUGUGUGGAAAGCGUUUAAAUGUCCAUCAUUUGUUACAAAAAAGAAUGGAAGCAUGUGGAAGGAGCCAAGCAAAUAUAAUGUGCACCUGCAGAUGAAACAAGCCUGGGAGAGAUAUUGGUGACUGAAAACAUAAAAGUUGGUGUAAUAUGUAUCAGUGCUACUCGCUCUUCUGUCCAAUGUUAUAACUGUGUACAUGGCCAGAGACCUGACAAACUUGCACUGAUGGGUUAAGACCCAUUUGCCUCCAAAAAGGAAAGAAGAGAAAAAGCCCAGUAACUGCGGGCUAGCUGUUCAGUCA